rnacentral:rRNA from 1 species
UACGAAAAAAACAAGUGUUGUUCGGAAUCACUGGGCGUAAAGGGAGCGUAGGCGGAUGUUUAAGUUGGAUGUUUAAAACCGGGGCCUAACCUCGGAACGGCAUCCAAAACUGGGCAUCUUGAAUAGGUCAGAGGCUGGUGGAAUUGGAGGUGUAGCGGUGGAAUGCGUAGAGAUCUCCAAGAACACCUAUUGCGAAGGCAGCCAGCUGGGACCAUAUUGACGCUGAGGCUCGAAAGCAUGAAGAGCAAACAGG